CAGUAGCCGCGGUAAGACAGAGGAUGCAAGCGUUAUCCGGAAUGAUUGGGCGUAAAGCGUCUGUAGGUGGCUUUUCAAGUCCGCCGUCAAAUCCCAGGGCUCAACCCUGGACAGGCGGUGGAAACUACCAAGCUGGAGUACGGUAGGGGCAGAGGGAAUUUCCGGUGGAGCGGUGAAAUGCGUAGAUAUAUGGAGGAACACCGGUGGCGAAAGCGGCUCUCUGGCUUGUAACUGACGCUGAGGCUCGAAAGCGUGGGGCGCAAACAGGAUUAGAGACCCCCGUAGUCCCUGUCUCUUAUAC
rnacentral:rRNA from 1 species